rnacentral:rRNA from 1 species
UACGUAGGUGGCAAGCGUUGUCCGGAUUUAUUGGGCGUAAAGGGCGCGCAGGCGGUCCGUUAAGUCCGAGGUGAAAUCUCCCGGCUUAACUGGGAAAUUGCAUCGGAAACUGAUCGGCUGGAAGGUGGGAGAGGGUAGCGGAAUUCCCGGUGUAGUGGUGAAAUGCGUAGAUAUCGGGAGGAACACCAGUGGCGAAAGCGGCUACCUGGCCCAUUCUUGACGCUGAGGCGCGAAAGCUAGGGGAGCAAACGGG